CGGAGCGUAGCGCAGUCUGGUAGCGCAUCUGGUUUGGGACCAGAGGGUCGGAGGUUCGAAUCCUCUCGCUCCGA
rnacentral:tRNA from 1 species